AUGGAUUCAGUUUAUGCUUUCACUGCAACACAUAUUGGUGGCCACAGGCUUAAGAGUUUCGCCCAGCGUCCGGCUGACGGUACGCGCGGUGGCAUCCUCCUGCUUUGGGACGAUGAUGUGGUACAUCUGUCCAACAUCCAAUUUCGGUCGUUCACCCUUUCAGCAAUGGUGACUCUGUACCCGCAAAGCCCAGCUCUCACCGCCUUCAAGCUGACCACUGUCUACAGGCCGACCCGAAGUAACCUUAAGGAUGCCUUCUUCGCUAAGCUUAUCACGGAAAAACCACCACCGGGCACCAUGUGGCCUGUCACGGGGGACUUCAACCAAAUUUACCGGGCGAGAGAUAAGAACCGUACAAAUGUUGAUCGGAGCCAUUUUAGGUUUUGAAACGCUCUCAACUCCUGUGAGCUUAAAGAGAUUCAUCUCCAGAACAGGAGAUUCACUUGGAGUAAUGGGCAGAGUGAGCCCACUUUGAGCAAGCUUGAUAGUUUUUUUUGCAAUGAAGAUUGGGACUUGGAGUUCGACUCCCACAUACUGCAUGCCUUAUCAUCCUCCCUCUCUGACCACUGCCCUCUUCUGCUUGCAAACGCGAAUGGGCUGAAGCGCUCUAAAUGCUUCCGCUUUGAAAAUUUCUGGAUCAAGAUGCCAGGCUUCUUGACAACCGUCCAAGAUGCGUGGAGUGAAGGACACAACCAUGUUGAGCCGUACCAUAUCCUACAUCACAAACUCAAGAAAACUAGUGUCAGACUGAAGGCAUGGAGCAAGUCCCUCUUCUCCAACAUGAAGGUUCAAGUUCAUAUGGCCUUGGAGGUCAUCCUUAACCUCGAUAUCGCACAAGAGUCUAGGUCUCUGAGCCCGCGGGAGAUUGAACUUAGGAAAAGGCUAAAGAGGAGGGUGGUUGGCUUGGCGGUACUUGAAAAAGCUCGGAAGCAGCAGAUCUCUAGAAUAACAAACAUUAAAGAGGGGGAUGCAAACACUAAGUAUUUUCACCUCCAAAUCAACCAUCGGCGAAGGAAAGAUUUUAUCCACUGCCUCAAGCACAAUGCGGGGUGGGUGACCGACCACAACCGCAAGUAG
rnacentral:rRNA from 1 species